rnacentral:rRNA from 1 species
CAAAAACAUAGCCUUUAGCACCCCAACUAUUAAAGGUGAUGCCUGCCCAGUGAUUCACUUAANCGGCCGCGGGAUCUUCCACCGUGCAAAGGUAGCAUAAUCACUUGUCCCCUAAAUAGAGACUAGUAUGAAUGGCCCCAUGAGGAUUUUCCUGUCUCUUGUAGUCAAUCUAUGAAACUGAUCUUUCAGUACAAAAGCUGAAAUAUUAACAUAAGACGAAAAGACCCUGUGGAACUUAAACCGGCAAUCAUAUUUAUGAUUUUUUCCCGUUUUUAGUUGGGGCAACUAUGGAAUAAAACAGAACUUCCAUUCCCUCCUCCCAGGUAGACACACCCAUAUAUUUUUCCUGACCCAGCAGUAACGCUGAUUAAAGAACCAAGCUACCCCAGGGAUAACAGCGCUAUCCCCUCUUAGAGCCCCCAUCGAUGAGGGGGUUUACGACCUCGAUGUUGGAUCAGGGCCUCCAAACAGUGCAGCAGCUGUUUACGGUUUGUUUGUUCAACAACUAAUGCCCUACGUGAUCUGAGUUC